AUGCUAGGGUUAGGCGAUUCUGGGGCGACAACCCUGGCGCCGCCGCCACCACUCGCCGGAUCGGUCCUCGAGGCCGCCGGUGCCGUUUCCAUGUCCUCACUAGGGGAGGGCUAUGGACCUGCUGCGGCCAUGUCCGCCUGUUCUCUGCCGGGGCUGCGUGCUCGUGGCGGACUAGUUACUCACCAAAUUGGAGAGACAAAGAUCGAGACUGCAUCUUUCAUACGGAGGAAGGAGUCUGAUGGAGCUACGAACCCCAACCCCUCCGUCAAGCACUUGGAGUUGGAGGCCCGUCCUGCCCAUACCUAA
rnacentral:rRNA from 1 species